rnacentral:rRNA from 1 species
CAGCAGCCGCGGUAAUACGGAGGGGGCUAGCGUUGUUCGGAAUCACUGGGCGUAAAGGGAGCGUAGGCGGCGUGGUAAGUCAGAUGUGAAAUCCCGGGGCUCAACCCCGGAACUGCAUCCGAUACUGCCGUGCUAGAGGAUUGGAGAGGUAGCUGGAAUUCUUGGUGUAGCAGUGAAAUGCGUGGAGAUCAAGAGGAACACUCGUGGCGAAAGCGAGCUACUGGACAAUAUCUGACGCUGAGGCUCGAAGGCCAGGGUAGCGAAAGGGAUUAGAUACCCCAGUAGUCCCUGUCUCUUAUAC